rnacentral:rRNA from 1 species
UACGGAGGGUGCAAGCAUUAAUCGGAUUUAUUGGGCGUAAAGGGCGCGUAGACGGGAAGAAAAGUCAGACGUGAAAUCCCGGGGCUCACCCCCGGAACUGCGUUUGAAACUCUCUUUCUAGAGGGUAGGCGGAGAAAACAGAAUUCCACGUGUAGCGGUGAAAUGCGUAGAUAUGUGGAAGAAUACCGGUGGCGAAGGCGGUUUUCUAGCUUAUACCUGACGUUGAGGCGCGAAAGCAAGGGGAGCAAACAGG